rnacentral:rRNA from 1 species
AACGAACGCUGGCGGCAGGCUUAACACAUGCAAGUAGAGCGCCCCGCAAGGGGAGCGGCAGACGGGUGAGUAACGCGUGGGAAUCUACCCAUUUCUACGGAAUAACGCAUGGAAACGUGUGCUAAUACCGUAUACGUCCUUCGGGAGAAAGAUUUAUCGGAGAUGGAUGAGCCCGCGUUGGAUUAGCUAGUUGGUGGGGUAAAGGCCUACCAAGGCGACGAUCCAUAGCUGGUCUGAGAGGAUGAUCAGCCACACUGGGACUGAGACACGGCCCAGACUCCUACGGGAGGCAGCAGUGGGGAAUAUUGGACAAUGGGCGCAAGCCUGAUCCAGCCAUGCCGCGUGAGUGAUGAAGGCCCUAGGGUUGUAAAGCUCUUUCACCGGUGAAGAUAAUGACGGUAACCGGAGAAGAAGCCCCGGCUAACUUCGUGCCAGCCGCCGCAGUAAUAC